rnacentral:misc_RNA from 1 species
GAGGACUGCUCUUCACAUUGCAGCGUGUCGAGGCUUCCAAGAUAUAGUGAAAGAGAUCAUUUCUAAAUGCCCAGGUUGCAGCGAACUUACUGACAAAAGAGGCUGGAAUGUUCUUCACUAUGCAGUGAUCAGCAAAAGUGAUAAAGUAAUAAAAGAAGUGCUCAAACAUUCAUCAUUGCUUUGCCUUUUAAAUAAGAAAGAUGUUGAAGGAAAUACGCCUGUCCAUCUAUAUAAAGCUUAUCAUCCCAGUUUGCCUGCCUUCAUAGAAAAACGAGAUGUAUUCUUGUUUUGGAGAAAACUGCACUAUCAAAUCACAGGAUACUCAUCCUCAAAGAAGGUCAGUCAACUAACAUAUAUCUUGUCACAAUAUAGAUAUUAAUUUUUAUUCUUAUUGAGCAAAAUAUGGGAUAAGUUAACUAUUUUUUCUUUUUUUUUUUAAUCACUAAUACUAUAAUGCUAACAUUAAUAAAUGUGAGAAAUUUAACCCGAGACUUUGUACUCUCUAUAGCCUUUAAAUUAUAUAAUAAGAUUAGACUUGAGACAUAUUAAUAA